CGGGACACGUGGUAUCCUGUCUGAAUAUGGGGGGACCAUCCUCCAAGGCUAAAUACUCCUGACUGACCGAUAGUGAACCAGUACCGUGAGGGAAAGGCGAAAAGAACCCCGGCGAGGGGAGUGAAAAAGAACCUGAAACCGUGUACGUACAAGCAGUGGGAGCACGCUUAGGCGUGUGACUGCGUACCUUUUGUAUAAUGGGUCAGCGACUUAUAUUCUGUAGCAAGGUUAACCGAAUAGGGGAGCCGAAGGGAAACCGAGUCUUAACUGGGCGUUAAGUUGCAGGGUAUAGACCCGAAACCCGGUGAUCUAGCCAUGGGCAGGUUGAAGGUUGGGUAACACUAACUGGAGGACCGAACCGACUAAUGUUGAAAAAUUAGCGGAUGACUUGUGGCUGGGGGUGAAAGGCCAAUCAAACCGGGAGAUAGCUGGUUCUCCCCGAAAGCUAUUUAGGUAGCGCCUCGUGAAUUCAUCUCCGGGGGUAGAGCACUGUUUCGGCAAGGGGGUCAUCCCGACUUACCAACCCGAUGCAAACUGCGAAUACCGGAGAAUGUUAUCACGGGAGACACACGGCGGGUGCUAACGUCCGUCGUGAAGAGGGAAACAACCCAGACCGCCAGCUAAGGUCCCAAAGUCAUGGUUAAGUGGGAAACGAUGUGGGAAGGCCCAGACAGCCAGGAUGUUGGCUUAGAAGCAGCCAUCAUUUAAAGAAAGCGUAAUAGCUCACUGGUCGAGUCGGCCUGCGCGGAAGAUGUAACGGGGCUAAACCAUGCACCGAAGCUGCGGCAGCGACGCUGAUGCGUUGUUGGGUAGGGGAGCGUUCUGUAAGCCUGUGAAGGUGUGCUGUGAGGCAUGCUGGAGGUAUCAGAAGUGCGAAUGCUGACAUAAGUAACGAUAAAGCGGGUGAAAAGCCCGCUCGCCGGAAGACCAAGGGUUCCUGUCCAACGUUAAUCGGGGCAGGGUGAGUCGACCCCUAAGGCGAGGCCGAAAGGCGUAGUCGAUGGGAAACAGGUUAAUAUUCCUGUACUUGGUGUUACUGCGAAGGGGGGACGGAGAAGGCUAUGUUGGCCGGGCGACGGUUGUCCCGGUUUAAGCGUGUAGGCUGGUUUUCCAGGCAAAUCCGGAAAAUCAAGGCUGAGGCGUGAUGACGAGGCACUACGGUGCUGAAGCAACAAAUGCCCUGCUUCCAGGAAAAGCCUCUAAGCAUCAGGUAACAUCAAAUCGUACCCCAAACCGACACAGGUGGUCAGGUAGAGAAUACCAAGGCGCUUGAGAGAACUCGGGUGAAGGAACUAGGCAAAAUGGUGCCGUAACUUCGGGAGAAGGCACGCUGAUAUGUAGGUGAAGCGACUUGCUCGUGGAGCUGAAAUCAGUCGAAGAUACCAGCUGGCUGCAACUGUUUAUUAAAAACACAGCACUGUGCAAACACGAAAGUGGACGUAUACGGUGUGACGCCUGCCCGGUGCCGGAAGGUUAAUUGAUGGGGUUAGCGCAAGCGAAGCUCUUGAUCGAAGCCCCGGUAAACGGCGGCCGUAACUAUAACGGUCCUAAGGUAGCGAAAUUCCUUGUCGGGUAAGUUCCGACCUGCACGAAUGGCGUAAUGAUGGCCAGGCUGUCUCCACCCGAGACUCAGUGAAAUUGAACUCGCUGUGAAGAUGCAGUGUACCCGCGGCAAGACGGAAAGACCCCGUGAACCUUUACUAUAGCUUGACACUGAACAUUGAGCCUUGAUGUGUAGGAUAGGUGGGAGGCUU
rnacentral:rRNA from 1 species